GACCAGCCUCAGCCGCUCCUCUACGCAUUCGUUCGCGCGCUUUCGCACGCAAGGGCGGAAGGGCUGCACUUCCCGCAGCGCCGGAUCCAAGCGUUCCUCUAACUUUCGAAAUUCUUCUUCUAACCUCAAAACUUUAACCAUGGAUAUUUCCAUAACCAUGGGGUUCCGAGGUGUGACAGUGGUACCAGGGGUAGCGUUCCCCACCCUCUCCCCCCCAUCCCCCCACGGUCCCGAAAUUCGGUUUUACCUAAUCUAAAGCUUUACCCAAUUAAUAUUACCAGAAACAAUGGAAGAGGCAGAGGAAAAAUUAAUAAGAUUAAAAAGAACCCCUAUUCUUCUCUACCAAUAAUGAGUAGUCUGGUAAAGCAAAAGCGGCUGCUGUUGAAAAAACUUUCAAAUUAAAAGCAUUAGCAAAGGAUUGAUUAAAAAUAGAUAAUAUAUUUAGCCAAAUAGCUUUAGAGUUAACUGACGAACCCACUGAAAUUGCAGAACCUAAGAAAUAAAAGCCAUAAAAAUGUAACCAAAAAAUUGUGAAGAAACAAGUCUAAAAACAUAGUCUCGAAUGGUCAUCUACAUCAAUAGUGUCUUCGAUAUCUUCAUCACCACCGUCAUUGUUAUGUAAACCUACGAAAAUAAAUAAUGAAACUAAAAAAAACGAAUUAAUGACAGUACUAACUACAUAGUUGGCUCAAAAAAAAGGAAAAAAAUUAGUUCAUAAUCUACACCAUACUACCUUGAUCAUCUUCAUCAUCACCAUCAACUAAACGUAGAAAAAUAAGAAAAAUCAACUCGAAUUUGAAGGACAUAAAUAUGCGUAUGGAAAUAGCACAUGAAGACAGUACAUUAGCAACAAUUGCUGAUAAUCCCUUUUCAUCAUCAUCAUAAAUCUGAAACAGAAGCUGAAAUGAAUAUAUUAGCAGCUAGAUCACCAUCAACAAAAAACACUGUAUCCAGUGGUAAGAAAAAAAUAUAUAUUGUUUUUAAUUUAUUAGGAUAUCUAUACUUAUUAUAAUUAUUUACAAAAUCAUAAUAUAGAUUCCAUUCUGAAAUUGUGGAGUGUUGUAAUCGUGAUAAUAUUUAUCUAUCAAUAUUUAUAUUUACAUCAGUGUCACAAUUUUGAAAUUUAAAUCAUUGUGUUAGUUAAAAAAAAAAUAAUAUAUAAUUUAUUUUCAACAGAUUCUUUGCUGGAAUGUAUCAAACAUAAUUAUAACGGUCUAUCAAAACAAUUAGCAAAUUUAAAAGGCCAUAUCUGCUGACGUUCCCAAAUCCUAUCUGAAAUAAAAAAAUAACAGUACUCAGCUGUUAGAUUUCAGUUUAUUAACAGAUCCUGAAGGAAAUCC
rnacentral:misc_RNA from 1 species